UUGUAUAAUGGGUCAGCGACUUAUAUUCUGUAGCAAGGUUAACCGUAUAGGGGAGCCGAAGGGAAACCGAGUCUUAACCGGGCGUUAAGUUGCAGGGUAUAGACCCGAAACCCGGUGAUCUAGCCAUGGGCAGGUUGAAGGUUGGGUAACACUAACUGGAGGACCGAACCGACUAAUGUUGAAAAAUUAGCGGAUGACCUGUGGCUGGGGGUGAAAGGCCAAUCAAACCGGGAGAUAGCUGGUUCUCCCCGAAAGCUAUUUAGGUAGCGCCUCGUGAAUUCAUCUCCGGGGGUAGAGCACUGUUUCGGCUAGGGGGCCAUCCCGGCUUACCAACCCGAUGCAAACUGCGAAUACCGGAGAAUGUUAUCACGGGAGACACACGGCGGGUGCUAACGUCCGUCGUGAAGAGGGAAACAACCCAGACCGCCAGCUAAGGUCCCAAAGUCAUGGUUAAGUGGGAAACGAUGUGGGAAGGCCCAGACAGCCAGGAUGUUGGCUUAGAAGCAGCCAUCAUUUAAAGAAAGCGUAAUAGCUCACUGGUCGAGUCGGCCUGCGCG
rnacentral:rRNA from 1 species